AAUAAAGUUUUGAUUAGAAAAAGUAACUAGUAGUAAUUUAAAAGAGAGUGCCAUUGCUGAGAAGGCACAUUUUACGCUGGCGAACACACAUCUAUGAACUAAUCGGUUGAACCAAGUAGGCCGGUUCGCAUGUUUAGCGUUAUCAGGGUUACCGUAUCUGUUAUCAGAGGAUGACUAGAUAUUGGCAACGUAAGGCCGACUACUGUGAGGUAGCGGCAAAUUGAGGUGGAACCACGACUUUAAGGCGUCCUCGAA
rnacentral:ncRNA from 1 species